CAUGAAGCUGCGAGUGAAAUCUUCUUCCAAGUCACUGCAUUCAAAGGGAUCCUCUGGUGAAGGAGACUUCUGCUUUGGGGAAAGAGGUGGAAGGAAGCAUCCCUCACUGGACAAGACCUUCAGCCGGCAUUUCCAGGAACAUGCUCCCUACUGAGUAGGCACAUCGCCUACUAAGCACAGGUCCCUGCGGCUCACCUGGACCCUGGCUUUGGAGAGAUCCGCUUCCUUCAGCCCACAGCUCUUCUCCCUGCUCCAGCUGGAAAAUCACAUCUGACUGGCAAUGUUGGUACCCUGGUCAUUGAAAAAAGGUACAUGGAUUUUGAAUUCUGUGCUGAUAAAAGUCCUCUCCUUCCCCGAAGCUAGUAAUUAUCAAGUCCAGGACAGGCUACUGAGGAAGGACAAGGACAACACUGAAGUUCACCCCAGGCACAACUUGGAUAGAAAAGAACACUGACAUCCAGACAGUGUGUUCACAACAGUGAAGACCUCUGGAUGCUGAUGUCUGUGCCCAAAGCUCAAAGAACGCCAGUCAGUCAGUCUGCAUUACACACUGAAUAUCUCCAGAGUGGGUUGAAUAUUAUUUUCAAACAGACACCAAUAAACAUAAGCUCUACAAGAAUAACCAAGUUCUAUUGUUUUCAUUAGUCUGCUUUCAACUCUUGCCACAGUGACUAGAGCAGAAUAAUUAUUUAGAAAAUGUUUAAUCAGCUUAUUUCUACAUUCAGAAAUACUGAGUUCCCAGUUUUCUUUGUGUUAGAGACUGAGUAGCAACAAAGACAUUAAAUUGUGGCUAAGAUUACAUUCUAGUGGGGUGACAAACUAGAUGGAGCAAAAUACAAAGAAAUAACUUAUUUUUCAAGGAAGGUCUAUGAAAGAUUCAGGGAAGAGUGUGGAGUGGGUAUGUCGAAGCUAUUCCAGAUCCCUGUGGACGGACGGACUGACUACCUCCCGACCCACCCAUCUGUAUACGUAUACAUACGUACAGAUACACACAUACGUACUGGCAGACUCACCCAGGGAGACCAGAUGACGUAUGUUUUCCAGCAUCACAUCUCUGAACAGCUUUCGCUGGGAUGCAUCCAGUAGGGCCCACUCUUCCUGGGUGAAGUCUACAGCUACAUCUUCAAAUGUCACUGAUUCCUGAAACAUCAUGGAUAUUCCGGUUUAGACCGAGCACUCCCAACAGGCAUCCAGAGUAGGAGGGUUGAACUGACAGCUCUGAGGAAGGGGGUGGAGGCGCCGGGUGUGUCGAAAGAUCAAACUGAACGUGGGGUUCCGUCAGCUCAUUCUCACUACCGAAUUGGCAGCUGCCUUUCAGAUUCAUCACAGAGAUACAUCCAGUCUGAAGCAAUAAAACUUCUUUAUAAGGGGGUAUCACGUGAAGUGUGACAUAAUAUUACCUGGAACUUUAAAAAAAACAACAACAACUGGUAUUUCUAGGGGCUCCUGGCUGGCUCAGUCAGUAAAGCAGGUGACUCUUGACCUCUGGAUUGUGAGUUCAAGCCCCACACUGGGUGUGAAGCCUACUUACAAAAGUAAAUACAUAAAAUAAAGACAAAGUCUAAAAUAAAAACUGGUAAUGAUGGUUUCUGAUAUGUGAUUAUAAAACUGGCACUUGAAAAUUAAUAACUAAAACUCACUUUCUGGUAAUUUCAAGUAACUUGACCAACUCACUGUAAGGCAAACAAUAACCGUGACUUGUCUCUUUAAACCAUGACGCCAUUCCCAUAGGUAAACAUUUAAUAAACUGUUACAAGUACUGGAAGAUCUGAUAAACUAAUGUAUGGAAGUUCUUCCUAUCUAAGUAAACGUGUAUUAAAUGUAAGCCAUUUGCCUGUUACUCCUUACAUUGUCCCAAGAACCUUGAAACCGUCUCUAGCAUUCUUCAAAAAUGAACAGGUUUCAUAAAUAACUUGGUAAAAAUAGUGUCGUCUCGCUCAUCUCUAUGGGACGCAGAUAUUCAUAAUAAAGGACAAGGUCAGAAGGCUCAGCAGCAAAGCCAGGGACCUCUGAGACGGCUGUGCUGGGGGACAGUCCUGGCCUGACCGGUUCUGUGCCAUGAGGACUCCCAAUCCCAAUCUUCUCUGGGACCUCAGACACCAGUUAUCACCGUCUCCUAUCUGGUCCUUCUGCUAAAGGAUAACAGAAGUCUCUUGACUGGUUUUGGUUUAUUUAAUUCUUAAAAAGUUUCUGCAGGAUCUUAAAUUGUACUCUACUCCCUUGUCCUGAGUAUAUAGCCACAGUUAUGGAAAUAAUACUCUCUAUACACUAAUUGCAGCUAAGAAAUAUUUUCUUAAAAGGUUAAUUAAUUACAGUAAGGCAAAAUGUGUGACUGGGAACAUGAAUGAUAGUGAAAAGUUAGUUCUCUUUUUAAGAAGUUUCCAAAAGUACAAAUACACUCUAUCAAAACUUUAAAACUGGACAGAAUGAGUGACUCUUCAUGCCUUUUCUGGCCUAAACUUUUCUCGUGCUCCUUUCACACCCAAAGACCCCAACCAGGACCUGUAACACUGGACUGUCAGAACCCACCUCCCUACUGGACUACAGUGUUGCCCUCCUGGCUCAUCUCUUCAUCACAACCCUUUACAAAGGACCAUUAUAGCCAACAGCGUGAUUAAGAAAGGAAUCCUUUCCCGGUAAGGAUAUGGACUAAGUUAGAGAAAGAAAACUUCUUUCUUCUUUUCUGUAAAUACAUAAGCUUAAUGGAGGCGAGAGUAAACUAGUGUGAGGUGGAAAGGUUAUUAGUUACUGAGGAGUUCCUGACCCAUUAGAACCAUCCCAGAGUCCUGGGGAAAUUUCACUGGAGCUCGAAUCCCUGAAUACUUCCUGACUGCACCUGGAAUAUCUGUGCCAAUGGGAAAAUCCCGCCCGUCAGAUGGCACAAGGGUAUAAGAGGAAAGAGUUGAUCCCCACUCACCAGUGGCUGCAUUGUCAAUAACCCAGGUGCAGGUGUCUUUCUCUGGGUCCUCGCUCACUGGCAGUCCAAGCACUAAGCAGGCAAAGCUGAGGACGGAGAAAGAAGCCAUGAGAUGCAGUCCUGCACAUAAUGUCCAGUCUAAACUGUCAUGAAGCCCUAAACCUUCACCUGGAUGUGACACUCCCCACCCAGCCCCACCAACCUGCAGCGCACUCUACAAGAAAUGCAGAGGACUCGCCUCCUCUCCCGUGGUCUAAAGUUAAGAAGACUGACUACAGUUGCUAAA